GACGAACGCUGGCGGCGUGCUUAAUACAUGCAAGUCGAACGGAAAGGCCCUGCUUUUGUGGGGUGCUCGAGUGGCGAACGGGUGAGUAAAACGUGAGUAACCUGCCCCUGACUUUGGGAGAACUUCAGGAAACAGGGGCUCAUACCGGGUAGGAGCUCCUGCUGCACGGUGGGGGUUGGUGAGUGGCGGCGGUUGGGGAUGGUCUCGGGGUUUCUCAGCUUGUUGGUGGGGGAGUGGCUUACCACGGCUUUGACGGGUAGCCGGCCUGAGAGGGUGACCGGCCACAUUGGGACCCGGAUGGGGCCCAGAGUCCAACGUGCGGCAGCGGUGGGAAAUAGUGCACGAUGGGCCGAGGCCUGAUGGAGCAACGCCGGGUGCGGGAUGACGGCCUUCGGGUUGUAAACAGCUUUGGCCUGUGACGAAGCGUGAGUGACGGUAAUUGGUAAGAAAGCACCGGCUAACUACGUG
rnacentral:rRNA from 1 species